CGAACGCUGGCGGCGCGUUUUAAGCAUGCAAGUCGAACGGUAGAGAAACUUCGGUUUCUUGAGAGUGGCGAACGGGUGAGUAACACGUAGAUGAUCUGCCUUGAAGUUGGGGAUAGCCCAUAGAAAUAUGGGGUAAUACCGAAUAAUUUUUUACCACUCUGGUGGUUUAAGGAAAGGGGCUUCGGCCUCGCUUUAAGAUGAGUCUGCGGUCUAUUAGCUAGUUGGUAGGGUAAGAGCCUACCAAGGCGACGAUAGAUAGCCGGCCUGAGAGGGUGACCGGCCACAUUGGGACUGAGACACGGCCCAAACUCCUACGGGAGGCAGCAGCUAAGAAUCUUCCGCAAUGGGCGAAAGCCUGACGGAGCGACGCCGCGUGGACGAAGAAUGCCGAGAGGUUGUAAAGUCCUUUUACAUGUGAAGAAUAAUGUCUGUAGGUAAUGACAGGCAGAUGACGUUAGCAUGUGAAUAAGCUCCGGCCAAUUAC
rnacentral:rRNA from 1 species